AAAAAAACAAACCCUGAGUUUUCUUGUCCAACGUUUGACCGUCCGUCUUAUUUGAAAAAUUUAUGAAAAAAAUUAAAAAGACAAGUCACGUAUAAAGUAUUAAUCAUGUUUUAUCAUCUAACAACAAUGAAAAUACUAAUUAUAAAAAAAAUUUAUAUAAGACGGAUAGUCAAACGUUGGACACGGAAACCCAGGGUUUGUCUUUUU
rfam:Oryza rufipogon genomic scaffold, chr12